GGGGUGCCAGGAGUCGGGGAACUGCUCAUUUCUGAGUUCAGCUUGCCAGGGUGGAACCUCUUGGAGUGCCCCCCUCCCCCAGGCCUGCCUUGUCUCAGCUGGAGUUGGGAGGGAGGAUGGGUGAGGGGAACAGUGGGUGGUGAAGGGAUUCUAAAAGGAAGCGAGGGGGUUACACAAUAGAGGGUGUGGCAGAAACAGGACAGGGAAGAGUCAGAGACCCAGCCGAGGCNGGGGUGCAGGGGCACUUGGCUGCCGUACUGCAGGAGCUCAGGCUUAGGGGAAAGUCCCCAGGGCCUCCCAGACUGUCCCUUUGCACCCACGCACUCUCCUUCCCCUAAAGACUCACUUCCUCUCUCGUUCCCCUGGUAGAGAACUGUCUGGGUGAAACUGUACACCACCUCAAGCUUUGGCCCCAGUCAGAGAGUGGGAGUCACAGGCAUGGAGACAGUGACCUUUCUUGUCACGGGAUCUGCCCAGGAUGUGGCCACUUUGCCCUUUGCCGUGGCUGCAGAAAUCACCCUACUGCUGAGGCCUAGGCUGGUGGGGUGGGGGCAAUGGUGGGGUAGUAAAAAUGUUUUAAGCCUAGGAAUUUAAGAUAAUGAAGAACAGUUCAAUUCAGUUCAGUUGCUCAGUCGUGUCCGACUCUUCGACCCCAUGGAAUACAGCAUGCCAGGCUUCCCUGUCCAUCACCAACUCCUGGAGCUUACUCA
rnacentral:lncRNA from 1 species